rnacentral:rRNA from 1 species
AGUGAACGCUGGCGGUAGGCCUAACACAUGCAAGUCGAACGGCAGCACAGUAAGAGCUUGCUCUUACGGGUGGCGAGUGGCGGACGGGUGAUGAAUACAUCGGAAUCUACUUUUUCGUGGGGGAUAACGUAGGGAAACUUACGCUAAUACCGCAUACGACCUACGGGUGAAAGCAGGGGAUCUUCGGACCUUGCGCGAUUGAAUGAGCCGAUGUCGGAUUAGCUAGUUGGCGGGGUAAAGGCCCACCAAGGCGACGAUCCGUAGCUGGUCUGAGAGGAUGAUCAGCCACACUGGAACUGAGACACGGUCCAGACUCCUACGGGAGGCAGCAGUGGGGAAUAUUGGACAAUGGGCGCAAGCCUGAUCCAGCCAUACCGCGUGGGUGAAGAAGGCCUUCGGGUUGUAAAGCCCUUUUGUUGGGAAAGAAAGGCAGCAGGUUAAUACCCCGCUGUUCUGACGGUACCCAAAGAAUAAGCACCGGCUAACUUCGUG